rnacentral:rRNA from 1 species
GAUGAACGCUGGCGGCGUGCCUAAUACAUGCAAGUCGAACGAAACUUCUUUAUCACCGAGUGCUUGCACUCACCGAUAAAGAGUUGAGUGGCGAACGGGUGAGUAACACGUGGGCAACCUGCCCAAAAGAGGGGGAUAACACUUGGAAACAGGUGCUAAUACCGCAUAACCAUAGUUACCGCAUGGUAACUAUGUAAAAGGUGGCUAUACUACCGCUUUUGGAUGGGCCCGCGGCGCAUUAGCUAGUUGGUAGGGUAAAGGCUUACCAAGGCAAUGAUGCGUAGCCGAAUUGAGAGGUUGAUCGGCCACAUUGGGACUGAGACACGGCCCAAACUCCUACGGGAGGCAGCAGUAGGGAAUCUUCCACAAUGGGCGAAAGCCUGAUGGAGCAACGCCGCGUGGGUGAAGAAGGUCUUCGGAUCGUAAAACCCUGUUGUUAGAGAAGAAAGUGCGUGAGAGUAACUGUUCACGUCUCGACGGUAUCUAACCGGAAAGCCACUGCUAACUACGUG